rnacentral:rRNA from 1 species
UCCGGUGACUGAAGCGGAGGGGUCACACCCGUUCCCAUCCCGAACACGGCAGUUAAGCCCUCCAGCGCCGAUGGUACUUGGGCCUCGCCCUGGGAGAGUAGGCCGUUGCCGGAA